AGGGUUUGAUUCUGGCUCAGGACGAACGCUGGCGGCACGCUUAACACAUGCAAGUCGAACGGUGAAGAGAAGCUUGCUUCUCGGAACAGUGGCGGACGGGUGAGUAACACGUGAGCAACCUGCCUUUAAGAGGGGGAUAACGUUUGGAAACGAACGCUAAUACCGCAUAACAUAGAAGAUUCGCAUGUUUCUUCUAUCAAAGAUUUAUCGCUUAAAGAUGGGCUCGCGUCUGAUUAGCUGGUUGGUGAGGUAACGGCUCACCAAGGCGACGAUCAGUAGCCGUACUGAGAGGUAGAACGGCCACAUUGGGACUGAGACACGGCCCAG
rnacentral:rRNA from 1 species